rnacentral:tRNA from 1 species
GGAAGGGUGACUGAGUGGUUUAAAGUGCCGGUCUCGAAAACCGGUGUCCCGAUAGUAUCGGGAUCGUGGGUUCGAAUCCCACCCCUUCCG